AGUCCAUUUUAGAAAUGUAGCAGGGUGAAGGUUACUAAAAAUUUGUUUAUUUUAGAUUGAUGUGCUUGAGGAUACAGCAUUACAGAAUGUCAUCAUUCUUCAGACAGUUGUUGAAGAGGUGAGACACCGUAGUGCACCAGCAUAUAAAAGAUUGAAAGAAGUCUUGGCCAACCCUGGCAAACAUUUUUAUUCAUUUGCAAAUGAAUUCAA
rnacentral:lncRNA from 1 species